CAUCAGCUGGCAUGCAUCAUUUGUCUAUAUGCUUUCUCAUCCACUUCUUGUUUGUUAAUUACGUAACAUGAUUUUAUUCUACAAUUAUAUGUUGCAGAUUAUGUACUAGAGGGAAGUGAAGGAACUCCUUUUGCAGGUUUGAUAUGAAGUGUUAUGCAUUUGUGGCACACGACAUUUAUUUCAUCGUUGGUUUUGUUUGCUAUUGUUCUUGGAACAUGGAAUUUUUUAUUUUAUUUUAUUCAUGAAUGUUUCCCACUUAUUAUGGUAAGGUGGAUAUUAUUAUGGGAAAAUCAAGUUUCCUCUAGAGUAUCCAUUUAAACCUCCAGGAAUCAGUAUGACUACUCCAAACGGACGAUUUAUGAC